rnacentral:rRNA from 1 species
AUGAACGCUAGCUACAGGCUUAACACAUGCAAGUCGAGGGGCAGCAUGGUCUUAGCUUGCUAAGGCCGAUGGCGACCGGCGCACGGGUGAGUAACACGUAUCCAACCUGCCGUCUACUCUUGGACAGCCUUCUGAAAGGAAGAUUAAUACAAGAUGGCAUCAUGAGUCCGCAUGUUCACAUGAUUAAAGGUAUUCCGGUAGACGAUGGGGAUGCGUUCCAUUAGAUAGUAGGCGGGGUAACGGCCCACCUAGUCUUCGAUGGAUAGGGGUUCUGAGAGGAAGGUCCCCCACAUUGGAACUGAGACACGGUCCAAACUCCUACGGGAGGCAGCAGUGAGGAAUAUUGGUCAAUGGGCGAGAGCCUGAACCAGCCAAGUAGCGUGAAGGAUGACUGCCCUAUGGGUUGUAAACUUCUUUUAUAAAGGAAUAAAGUCGGGUAUGCAUACCCGUUUGCAUGUACUUUAUGAAUAAGGAUCGGCUAACUCCGUGCCAGCAGCCGCGGUAAUACGGAGGAUCCGAGCGUUAUCCGGAUUUAUUGGGUUUAAAGGGAGCGUAGAUGGAUGUUUAAGUCAGUUGUGAAAGUUUGCGGCUCAACCGUAAAAUUGCAGUUGAUACUGGAUAUCUUGAGUGCAGUUGAGGCAGGCGGAAUUCGUGGUGUAGCGGUGAAAUGCUUAGAUAUCACGAAGAACUCCGAUUGCGAAGGCAGCCUGCUAAGCUGCAACUGACAUUGAGGCUCGAAAGUGUGGGUAUCAAACAGGAUUAGAUACCCUGGUAGUCCACACGGUAAACGAUGAAUACUCGCUGUUUGCGAUAUACAGCAAGCGGCCAAGCGAAAGCGUUAAGUAUUCCACCUGGGGAGUACGCCGGCAACGGUGAAACUCAAAGGAAUUGACGGGGGCCCGCACAAGCGGAGGAACAUGUGGUUUAAUUCGAUGAUACGCGAGGAACCUUACCCGGGCUUAAAUUGCAGAUGAAUUACGGUGAAAGCCGUAAGCCGCAAGGUAUCUGUGAAGGUGCUGCAUGGUUGUCGUCAGCUCGUGCCGUGAGGUGUCGGCUUAAGUGCCAUAACGAGCGCAACCCUUGUUGUCAGUUACUAACAGGUCAUGCUGAGGACUCUGACAAGACUGCCAUCGUAAGAUGUGAGGAAGGUGGGGAUGACGUCAAAUCAGCACGGCCCUUACGUCCGGGGCUACACACGUGUUACAAUGGGGGGUACAGAGGGCCGCUACCACGCGAGUGGAUGCCAAUCCCAAAAACCUCUCUCAGUUCGGACUGGAGUCUGCAACCCGACUCCACGAAGCUGGAUUCGCUAGUAAUCGCGCAUCAGCCACGGCGCGGUGAAUACGUUCCCGGGCCUUGUACACACCGCCCGUCAAGCCAUGGGAGCCGGGGGUACCUGAAGUGCGUAACCGCGAGGAGCGCCCUAGGGUAAAACUGGUGACUGGGGCU